rnacentral:sRNA from 1 species
GGUGGUGGUGGUGGUGGUGCAGCCAGCCAGCUGAUCAGUCUCUGCUCCUCAGGGCAGAGCAAUACGUUCAAAGGGGAAACUGAGCCAGGCCAGAUUUACGCAGGCAGUGGCACAGCAGACAGGGUAACCUGGGCAUUGGCAACCUCAUAAAAAUAGAGACUCCUAGGUCUCCCAACCCCCACCCCUCCUCUUCAUUUUCGCACAUCAGGUUUUGCUGGCUCAAACUUCUAAACUAAUUCCUAAAUUCCUCUCUUAGACGCUACCAGGGCUAAUGAGCCCCAACUCAGAAACAAAAAAGCUGCUGUGGCCAAACUGUCCUGUGCUGUUUAAGCCAAAACUCUGACUCUGGAGCAUGGGAUUUAGCGCUCCCAUUUCAGAUGGGAGCUUGUUUUCUCUCAGUAUGUCCUUUAAACACCUCUCCUGGGCAGAGAGGUCCUCUGGCUCUGUGACAGGGAGGAGAGCAGAACAUCCCAGGAGAUAGAUCCAAACAGUGAAAGCCACAGCUGGCAGUUUUCCUCUGUCCUCUCUCGGAUGACCACCCUCUCACCACCUCUGGGCUCAGUCUCCUGUUGCUGAGGAGAUGUUUGUUUAUCUUGUAAUUUUAAUGUUUUGUUUUAAUUUUGAUAUGCUUUUUACAUAAUAUAUAGAACAAACAAAAAAGCUAAUAUUUUAGACUGAUAGAUUAAAAAAAAUAAAUCAAAAUGUAAUUAUAGUAGCUGCCAUUAAAUAUCUGCUAAGGUCGGUUCUACUGGGUCUUCACGACUGAAGAAUAAUUGUCCCAAACAGGCCAUCCCAGCCAAAUUUUUAUUUUAAAUGUAAAAAUGGGGAGAUUGGUCUAUAUGACUAUAUUAUCUCAUGGUAUUAAAUGAUAAAAUGUUAUAAAAUUAAAAGAUAAAAUGUUUUAAUAAAUAAGGAUUUAUACAUACAUAUAUAUAUAUGUUUACAGAAUAAAAAACUAAAAGGUUUCUGAAAAUUACAAAAGGUCUGGUUAACUUAUUUGGGGUACAAAGGUAAUACACACAAUAUUAAAGUUUGUAAGAUUUAA